rnacentral:lncRNA from 1 species
UAUGUGAAUGUAUGUAUUGUGACUGUAUGUUUUUAUGUAUAUAUGUGUUUAAGCAUUUAUUUAUUUACUUUCUUUCUGAACCAGAUGGAGUGGAUCAUAUAUCACCAAGAGGUCCUAGACUUGGCAGCGGAUGUUGUUGGGCUGUCUUUCUUCAGGAAGGUUGAAUAUGUUCUUUGUUCAAGAAAGGUGCAGUAAACAUAAUUAAAUACUAUUCAACUAAAAUCUGAGAACAGUAACAACAUAAUCAUAAUAAAUCAUUUUAAAUUUAAUUUUCUAAUAAAUGG